rnacentral:rRNA from 1 species
CCUACGGGUGGCAGCAGUGAGGAAUAUUGGUCAAUGGGCGGAAGCCUGAACCAGCCAAGUCGCGUGAGGGAUUAAGGCCCUGCGGGUCGUAAACCUCUUUUGCCGGGGAGCAGUGGUCCGGACGCGUCCGGACCGGGAGAGUACCCGGAGAAAAAGCAUCGGCUAACUCCGUGCCAGCAGCCGCGGUAAUACGGAGGAUGCGAGCGUUAUCCGGAUUUAUUGGGUUUAAAGGGUGCGUAGGCGGGCAUUUAAGCCGGCGGUCAAAUGUCGGGGCUCAACCCCGGCCUGCCGUCGGAACUGGGUGCCUUGAGUGGGCGAGAAGUAUGCGGAAUGCGUGGUGUAGCGGUGAAAUGCUUAGAUAUCACGCAGAACCCCGAUUGCGAAGGCAGCCUGCCAAGCCAUGACUGACGCUGAUGCACGAAAGCGUGGGGAUCAAACAGGAUUAGAUACCCGGGUAGUC